UACGUAGGGUGCAAGCAUUAAUCGGAUUUAUUGGGCGUAAAGGGCGCGUAGGCGGGAUGAUAAGUCAGAUGUGAAAGCCCGGGGCUCAACCCCGGAACAGCAUUUGAAACUGUCAUUCUAGAGGGUAGGCGGAGAAAAUGGAAUUCCACAAGUAGCGGUGAAAUGCGUAGAUAUGUGGAAGAACACCAGUGGCGAAGGCGACAUCCUGGACCGGUAUUGACGCUGAGGCGCGAAAGCCAGGGGAGCAAACGGG
rnacentral:rRNA from 1 species